AACGAACGCUGGCGGCAGGCCUAACACAUGCAAGUCGAACGCCCUGGCAACAGGGAGUGGCAGACGGGUGAGUAACGCGUGGGAACGUGCCCUUCGGUUCGGAAUAACUCAGGGAAACUUGAGCUAAUACCGAAUACGUGCGAGAGCAGAAAGAUUUAUCGCCGAAGGAUCGGCCCGCGUCCGAUUAGCUAGUUGGUGAGGUAAUGGCUCACCAAGGCGACGAUCGGUAGCUGGUCUGAGAGGAGGAUCAGCCACACUGGGACUGAGACACGGCCCAGACUCCUACGGGAGGCAGCAGUGGGGAAUAUUGGACAAUGGGCGCAAGCCUGAUCCAGCCAUGCCGCGUGAGUGAUGAAGGCCCUAGGGUUGUAAAGCUCUUUCGCCAGGGACGAUAAUGACGGUACCUGGAUAAGAAGCCCCGGCUAACUUCGUGCCAGCAGCCGCGGUAA
rnacentral:rRNA from 1 species